CCUACGGGAGGCAGCAGUGGGGAAUAUUGCACAAUGGGGGGAACCCUGAUGCAGCGACGCCGCGUGGGUGAAGAAGCGCCUCGGCGCGUAAAGCCCUGUCAGCAGGGAAGAAAAUGACGGUACCUGAAGAAGAAGCCAAGGCUAACUACGUGCCAGCAGCCGCGGUAAUACGCAGGGGGCAAGCUUUAUCCGGAUUUACUGGGUGUAAAGGGGGCGCAGACGGUGAGACAAGUCAGGAGUGAAAGCCCGGGGCUCAACCCCGGGACUGGUGUUGGAACUGCGUGGCUGGAGAGUAGGCGCGGUAGGCGGAAUGCAUGGUGUAGCGGUGAAAUGCGUAGAUAUCAGGAGGAACACCGGUUGCGAAGGCGGCCUGCUGGGCUGCAACUGACGUUGAGGCCCGAAAGCGUGGGGAGCAAACAGGAUUAGAUACCCGAGUAGUC
rnacentral:rRNA from 1 species